CCUUCUUUAGCUCAGUUGGUAGAGCAUCAGACUGUAAAUGGUUACCUACCUGGCUCGAACAGAAUUGGCUUACGUGAUCUGGGUGUCACCCGUUCGAUCCGGGUAAGAAGGA